rnacentral:lncRNA from 1 species
ACAAUGUUUUAAUAAUAAAGACGUUUUAUUAUGACUUUUUUUAAUUAAAUAGUUUAUUAUCGUUUAUAACUUUAUAAACUAUUAUUAUUACUUAAUUUAAAAUAAUAGAUUUUGGAGUUAAUUAUUUUUAUACAGUUAUUUUUACUAACUUGGAACAACAACUUUGGGAACAAAAAUAAAUAAUGACAAUGUAAUUUGUUUGUGUAUUUGUUAAUGUAUUUAUUCAUUUAUUUAGCUUUUUAUAUAUUUGCUUGUACUCAGUGAACACAAACAUGGUCUGUAACAUCAUGAAGUCAUUAGUGACCGAAUCGUCAUUUUUGGGGUGAACUGUUCAGCAGUCCUGAUUGGUUACAGUAUCCCCUCCAGCUUUAGCCGUGCGUGUUGGAAGCGGGUCAAAGGUCGAGCGCGGGGAAUCUUAAUUAGGUUAGCGCCCUUCCCACUGCUUUUUCCACUGCUGUGUAGCACAAAGCCUCCUCUUUAGCAUGCAGAGCCACUUGCCCCGCGGCUGGGCUUUUGUGGCGCAUUGAGGGCCGGGGCCAGAGGCUGGCAUUCACCCGCGGCGCUAAAACACAGCAGUUCCAGCACAGACGGGCCGCCCCACACUGGAGCUGUGAACCGAUGGAGGAGGACAUGGUUUUGCGGUUUUGCGUGCGAUAACAUCAAGCUGCUGCGCGUUUGGCAACGCAAAGACGGCGCACAACAACAACUCCAGCAGAUUCGGCAAGUUCAUCCAGGUCAAUUACCUGGAGAGCGGCGUGGUGCGCGGGUGAGUGUCUUUCUCUCUCUCUCUCUCUCUCUCACACACACACCCUGCCUUCUGACGUCACUCUUUAAAGAAAAACAAAAAUUCCUUAAGACGUUUUGUUUGUACUGUAAUGUUACCUGGACAUUUCUUGACCAAACAUUGGUGUGUCAUUUACCCACAAUGCUUUGUGCCGGCGCAGUGCUCGUGUUCCUCUGAACAAAGGUCACGAGAGUGUGUGAUCGAGCCCUGAGUCAAUAAAGCUGUCGGGACACUCUCAGUCGCUCUAUUGUCCUCCGGCCCGCAAGAGUUCAGCUCAAUUCACUGAAUGACGCUCAUCAAGUCAACACUAGACUUCUAAUAACAAAUAAAUAACUCUAAUAUAUAAACGCAUCAACUAAAUAAUUAAGAAUAAGAACCGAAUGUUACAAAUAAACAAACAAAC